GCUUACAAUGCAGCAAAACUAAUGAGGAUGAUUCUACUCAUAUUGCUAGCACUAACACUACACAGUUUGCGCAGUGCAAAAGCCAAUCGAAAGGAAAAGUGGACCAAAUUGUUUCAUGGGCACAAAGCAAAUCAGUAGGUGAAAUCACAGUUUCUAUUGACACUGGUAAAGACUUCAAGAAGCCAAAGAUAGAGCUAUCAGUUGCUGUGAUAGGCUCUAUAUUUAGCUUUGUUGCUUCAGUGGACCUUGAAAAGUGUUUAAACAACAAGCUAAAAUUUACUAUAGCAGUAAUCUUGUCCACCAUUCUCUCUCUACUGUUUGAGACCUUACUCAUGCUGUUCAAUACCUUCUACCCUGAUAAGGCAGCCUGCAUAUAUAAAUACAUCACCCUGCCUAUUGCAACUAUUACUGAUCAUCUACCUGGCCCUCUAGAGAAGACCAAACCUCAUCUGAUAUCAUUCUACCAAGAUCUAUGCCGUGCAAUUACAUCGGGAACUCUUGUGUGGAUAUUAGCAUUUUGGUUUCUCAUGCCAUCUACUAAAGGUUCAUUCCAACUUAGAUUUAAGAACUCCAUCUUAAUUCAUAUCAUCGCUACUGUGGUACUACACAUUGUCAAAGAAAUAAGCUAUAUUUGGUUCAAGAGUAUUGCUUUAAUUGCCAAUCACUUGAAAAAGAAGACAAAUGUUUGUUCAAAUGGAGAAGAGCCAUCUACUGAAGCCACUCAAACCAUUAAUGCACCUACUACUAUCUGAGGUAAAUUCUGAAUUUUACGUGUAUCUCUUCUACUUAUAAUCUCUUACAAAACUACUGAUCAUUGUAUAAUAAUAUUAUGCAGGUAUUUGCAUAAUCUUUGCUGCAAGUAAUCAAUGUUUCCAAAAAAAAAGAAAAAGAAAAGCAGAACUUCAUCAAGUUACAAGCAGCAACAAUGCAUCUUAGUUUAUUUUAUCCAAGUUAGAAUAUGCAGUACCGCAGUGGAAAACCACUUUGGUAGAACACGGUAUAAAUGCACAUCCCUCUUAGUGAUGAUUAGCAGUAACAAUAGCUGAAUCAUUCUGCAAGUAUUAGCUGUCAUUGUACUUUGAAGAACUCUAGCACUGUCUACACUCUGUGUACUAAGCUAAUAUUAUCGUGCACUAAUCCCAUUUCCAGCAUCAUAUA